UGCAAGUCGAGCGCUACCUUCGGGUGGAGCGGCGGACGGGUUAGUAACGCGUGGGAAUAUACCCAGUUCUAAGGAAUAGCCACUGGAAACGGUGAGUAAUACCUUAUACGCCCUUCGGGGGAAAGAUUUAUCGGAAUUGGAUUAGCCCGCGUUAGAUUAGAUAGUUGGUGGGGUAAUGGCCUACCAAGUCUACGAUCUAUAGCCGGUUUGAGAGGAUGAUCAGCAACACUGGGACUGAGACACGGCCCAGACUCCUACGGGAGGCAGCAGUGGGGAAUCUUAGACAAUGGGCGAAAGCCUGAUCUAGCCAUGCCGCGUGAGUGUUGAAGGCCCUAGGGUCGUAAAGCUCUUUCAACUGUGAAGAUAAUGACGGUAGCAGUAGAAGAAACCCCGGCUAACUCCGUGCCAGCAGCCGCGGUAAUACGGAGGGGGUUAGCGUUGUUCGGAAUUACUGGGCGUAAAGCGUACGUAGGCGGAUUAAUAAGUUAGAGGUGAAAUCCCAGGGCUCAACCCUGGAACUGCCUUUAAAACUGUUAGUCUUGAGAUCGAGAGAGGUGGGUGGAAUUCCAAGUGUAGAGGUGAAAUUCGUAGAUAUUUGGAGGAACACCAGUGGCGAAGGCGGCUCACUGGCUCGAUACUGACGCUGAGGUACGAAAGUGUGGGGAGCAAACAGGAUUAGAUACCCUGGUAGUCCACACCGUAAACGAUGAAUGCCAGACGUCAGCAAGCAUGCUUGUUGGUGUCACACCUAACGGAUUAAGCAUUCCGCCUGGGGAGUACGGUCGCAAGAUUAAAACUCAAAGGAAUUGACGGGGCCCGCACAAGCGUGGAGCAUGUGGUUUAAUUCGACGCAACGCGCAGAACUUU
rnacentral:rRNA from 1 species